AGGCAGUCCUUGUGCCAUAUUUUCUUUUGUUCUGCAGGGGCACUGAGUCUAGUUGUAGGAUCUGUAGCACCACCCUCUUACCCCAGAGUCAUCAAGUAUGCAGUCCUGCAGAUUUCAGAAAGACUGUUUGCACUGGUGAUGAGCAGCCUGUUCUUACGUAUUUGCUUGAUUUGGAGACUAAAUCAAGAACGCUGCCAUAAAGUUAAUGAACAGCAAGUGCCAGUCAACUACAGAUUUUUUCAAAGGAAAGCCUGCAAAGUGAAAAAGAUGCCCUCAAACCAUCUGACUGCAGAUAGACUAAGGGGAUAUUAGACCAGGUGGCUACAGAUAGGUGUAAUAAGAAGGGCACUGGGCAUGCAAACCAACACAGCUGAAGACUGGAACCAUCCAUUGCAAUCCCUGACACAGCAAUGGUCACCACAAGCUGGUCUUCUGUGCAAGAAGCUAACCAAUUAAAGAAGGAUUUACUGCAAGAGAGGCAGGAGGAUUCCAACAAGGCAUUGGAGACUGUCGUGGCUUAAACCCAGUCGGUAACUAAGUACCAUGCAGCCACUUGCUCACCCCACUGGGCAGGAUGGGAUGGAGAAUUGAAAGAAUGUAAAACCCACAGGUUGAGCAAAUUCCAUACUUACACAAUGCUUGCUUGUCCCAGUCUAUCAGAACACCUAGUGUUUUCCAAACUCUGGUAGAAGUUAAAUGUUCCUUUUAUUCUGCAGCUAAAGAGGAGAAAUAAAUAAAUUUAAAUAUGCCAUGGCCUCACAGAGGGCCAACUUCAAAGUCAGAGUCAGCUUUUAACUUGGAACAGAUUGCUCAGGACUGUAUUCAGUCAAGUUCUGAAUAUCUCUGAGGAUGGAGACUGCACAACCACUGGGCACCUGUACCCACAUUUGACCACUCUUAUGGUCUUCCUCAUUUCCUGGCUACGAAAGGCAUAGAUCAAAGGAUCAAUCACUGAGUUGCACAUAAUGAGAAUGAGGUACAUGUUGAAGUGAGACAUGAAGCAAACACAGUAGAGGUUUUGAGGGC